AACGAACGCUGGCGGCAUGCCUAACACAUGCAAGUCGAACGAGACCUUCGGGUCUAGUGGCGCACGGGUGCGUAACGCGUGGGAACCUGCCCUUAGGUUCGGAAUAACUCCCCGAAAGGGGUGCUAAUACCGGAUAAUGUCUUCGGACCAAAGAUUUAUCGCCUUUGGAUGGGCCCGCGUUGGAUUAGCUAGUUGGUAGGGUAAAAGCCUACCAAGGCGACGAUCCAUAGCUGGUCUGAGAGGAUGAUCAGCCACACUGGGACUGAGACACGGCCCAGACUCCCACGGGAGGCAGGAGUGGGGAAUAUUGGAACAUGGGGGAAAGGCUGAUACCGCCAUGGCGCGGGAGUGAUGAAGGGCUUAGGGUUGUAAAGCCCCUUUAACCGGGAAGAUAAUGACCGUACCGGGAGAAUAAGCCCCGGCCAACUUCGUG
rnacentral:rRNA from 1 species